rnacentral:rRNA from 1 species
GAUGAACGCUGGCGGCGUGCCUAACACAUGCAAGUCGAACGGAAAGGCCCAAGCUUGCUUGGGUACUCGAGUGGCGAACGGGUGAGUAACACGUGGGUGAUCUGCCCUGCACUUCGGGAUAAGCCUGGGAAACUGGGUCUAAUACCGGAUAGGACCACAUUUUGGAUGGUGUGGUGGAAAGUUUUUCGGUGUGGGAUGAGCUCGCGGCCUAUCAGCUUGUUGGCGGGGUAAUGGCCUACCAAGGCGUCGACGGGUAGCCGGCCUGAGAGGGUGUACGGCCACAUUGGGACUGAGAUACGGCCCAGACUCCUACGGGAGGCAGCAGUGGGGAAUAUUACACAAUGGGCGCAAGCCUGAUGCAGCGACGCCGCGUGGGGGAUGACGGCCUUCGGGUUGUAAGCUCCUUUCGCUAGGGACGAAGCGUUUUUGUGACGGUACCUGGAGAAGAAGCACCGGCUAACUACGUG